rnacentral:lncRNA from 1 species
GUUGUAGCACCCCCUUUAAAUAGGAAACAAAGGGGGAUACCAUGGGAUGCCAACUCUUGGUGUCCCUUAACUCUUACAUGGUAUUAUUUAAUUUUUUCCAUGGAAACCAAGGAGAUGGUGAGGAAUAAAAGGUGAUUAACUAGCAAAAGGACUCUUCCUGUACUAAGAAAAAUUAAUACACCAUCAUAUGGUGCAUGGGAAAAGAAAUUAACAUGAGAAACAGAG